AUGCAACGUUGGGCUCUGAUAUUGUUAGCCUACGACUACGAGAUUGAGUCCAGACGAUCCAGUGAUCACGCAAAUGCCGAUGCACUAUCAAGACUACCAUGCAAUACUGACUCUGACAGUGAAGAUGAUAGAGCAGUCUUCCAGAUCUCUCUCAUUGAUGAACUUCCCAUAUCUGCUUCUGACAUAGCAGAGGAAACAAGGAAAGACCCAGUGCUUUCCAUAGUCUUGGACUUAACAUUAGGCGGUUGGCCAACCUUCGUAAAUGACGAUAACCUUCGUCCAUUCAUCGACAAGAAAGACCAGUUGUCCACUGAUCAAGGGUGUGUUCUGUGGGGAUCAAGGGUGGUGGUACCUCACAAAUUCCAGAGGAGACUGCUAUCUGACCUGCAUGAGGGACAUCCAGGGAUCACUCGAAUGAAAGCACUCGCUCGCAGUUAUCUGUGGUGGCCUGGACUGGAUCAGGACAUUCAACAGCAUGUAGGCCACUGCUCACCUUGUGAAGCUGUUCGCAACAAGCCUGCUGCUGCACCUCUUCAUCCAUGGUCCUGGGCUGCUACACCUUGGGAACGCAUCCAUGUGGAUUACGUCGAAAUUGACAAGCAACAUUUCCUUGUUGUCGUCAAUGUCCAUUUCAUGUGGAUGGAAGUGUUCCCUACUCAACUGACCACAGCUGAGAAGACCAUCAAUCUUCUCAGACACCUGUUUGCAUCCUUUGGACUUGUCAAGGAGCUCGUAUCGGACAAUGGCCCUCCGUUCAUGUCAAACGAUUUUGAAAUGUUUCUCAAGAACAACGGAGUAAGGCACUUCCUGUCACCACCUUACCAUCCGCAAUCAAACGGAGCAGCGGAGAGAGCCGUGCAAACCUUUAAGAAGGCCUGGACUAGACUCGAGGUUCAGUCUGUGCCCAUCCACCAAAGGCUUCCCCGGUUCCUGUUUACUUACCGUAACACCCCACACACAGUAACGGAAUGUACACCAGCUGAACUGUUUCUGAAACGCCAACCACGUACCAGUCUGACAUUGUUGAAACCAGACUUGUCAAGCACUGUGGCAAAGCACCAGCUACAGCAGAAGAAAGCUCAUGACAGACACUCAAAGAAUGUCAGAGAAUUCAAAGAGGAAGAGAGGGUGAUGGUACGUGAUUUCAGACACCCUAAGCACCUGUGGAACUCAGGUGUGAUCUUGCAACGCAGAGGACCUUUGACUUACCAAGUCCAAAUUGGUCAUUGCCAGGUCAACGUUCAUGUGGAUCAUCUGCUACGGUCCAACGCCCCAGCAGAGACAUGCCGAGAGAACAAGAACAAUAACGACCCCCAGGACUAUUCUCCUGACUGUGGACGUACGGGAGAGACAGAGCCUGACCUUCCACCCGAACCUGGCCCACCACAGGAAGCCCAGGAGGAGCGGAGAUAUCCUAUUUGACAGCGAAGGGCACCUCAAAAGCUUGACCUGUGAGUUGAACUGGUUAAGGAGGUAACAGACAGUAAAACAAACAUUUUAAUAUGUCCUAGAUAAAAGGAAAGAAAAAGGACAUUACCUGGGUUAGUUAUUAGGACACAAACUCCAUCUUCGGGGCAGAAUAAUCCCCUGGAUUUGUGCUGGGCUCUGAAAAGUCUGCUUCAACCCAGUAGUUGAAAAAUGUUUAAGAAUGCAUUGUUCAGAUAUUGCAUUAGUAGUUACCUAACAUAUUUACCUUGUUCUCUGGGAGUUAAACACUAUGGGGGAGGAGUGUAGUAUCUGGGAUCUACAUCUGUUUAUAUUAGUUACGGUGCUGUUACUAAGCAGAAAUGCAUUACGGCAGUGUUACGUUACUACACCAAAUAGGAAAUGCACAUGCGCACUGGGGUGCCGGGAACUGUAGAGCACAAGGGGUUUUGACUCAACGAAAACUAACUGUACUCCCGUCUCCUGCCUGGUCAUUUCUCCACUACACAAAUAUUACAGUAUGACUUAUGACCUCCAUUGUAACUUUCCUUUGUGGUCUGAUCAGCCUCAUUGGAAAGCCAUUUGGAUGGAGAAUCUAGGGUCAUUUGUAAUACUGAUAUUAAGGUAAUUUAAUACAAAAAGGCAGUGAAAUUUACAUUAUAGUGUCAUUAUAUUUUCUCUGAUGAAUGUGGUGUGAAAAUUAGCUAGGAUAAGUUUUAAUGAUGGUAGACUCAUGUUAACUAUUUGGGACAUAUUUUGAGCCAACAGGGCAGGGAAGAAAUUUAGAUAUUUGUGUUUGGUUUUAACACCUGUGUACAGGAGUGCCAGUGUACCUGUGUAAUGGGGGAGGGUGUCCGUAUGGGGAUUGCAUGAUAGCCAACUUGGGACAGUUCUGGGAUUGGAGAAGAGGGUAUCCUUGUAGCAUAGGGGAUCCCACAAAGGUGGAUAGGUUUUCCAUGAUAUGGGGGAAACCUGGGAGCACUGUUGAACUCUGUAAAGGUGAUGAAAUCCUACUAACCAUCAAAACCAUUAAGCUCUCUGAUGCAGGCACUUACACCCUCGGACUACAAAGGACCGGGACAGACACGAUGGGUGUGUUUUCUAUUAAGGUGCUGCCAAAACCACAGAGGUCCCAGACGAACCAGAGCCAGACACACUCCUCUACCACCCCUGGACCGAGCCUACCACCCACCACCACUGUGUCAAAUCUCAUUCAGGUAAUUAACGUUAGAGACUAUUCAGCUAUUGAUCAAUUAGGCACUGAGACUGGUUUUGAUGGUAGGGACAAUUUGUGGCUGUCUUAUAUGAGGUAUACAGCUAAGACCCUGAAAAGAAAGGACUGCAUUAUCUGUGGUAAUGCUAGACCUGUUCUGGCUACACACCCAUUUGCUAUAGGAGAAGGAGAGGGGUGGUUGUGUAUUCUGAGAGGUUUUUACCAGGUUCAGCCCAAUUCAACUCUCUGUUCCUCUUUGAGCCUUGUGUUUCCUAUAGUACCUCCUCAUCGGGCCCCUUGGGGUGUUAAGGCAUAUGGGGGCAAUUACAGUUGCAUCACGGGUACAGGUAAUGGCAUUGAUUAUGGGAGAUUGCCUGAAGCUGAUUGCAGUAGUAACAUAACCAUCAAUGUCACUUGGCCAGUUGCAGGCCUAAACCAAACUAGUGGUCUGGCUGAUGUGUGGUGGAUCUGUGGACCCAAAAGAGUGCUGAGACCCAUUCUUAGAGGAGACUGGCAAGGUACGUGUACUCUGACCAGUUUGAUAAUUCCACUGACCAUUGUUGAUGUUACUGCUGAACAGCUGUUGGGCUCUGUAUCCAGGGGACCUGAAAACAUUCCAUCCCAUGGGAGACAUAGAUGUAGUACUCCAUGGACAGAGGAUGUAGUUGACAUAAACACUAACCUGUUGGGGGGCCAGUGGGGGCUCCUCAUGAGUUUCAGACCUUGGGUAGGAAUGAUGGACUCUGGCACUUACUACCUAUUAUAGGUCCAGCCAUAGUGGAUGUAAGACAGACUGCAUGGAUUAAUUAUAUCUACUAUAAUCAACAGCGUUUUGUGAAUUACUCCCGUGAUGCCAGUCAGGGGGGUGUCUGCAAGAUGUUCGGUGAACAAUGUUGGAUGUCUUAAGGUGAACGCACCAAUUUGUAAGUCGCUCUGGAUAAGAGCGUCUGCUAAAUGACUUAAAUGUAAAUGUAAAUGUAAAUGUUGCACGUAUAUUCCUAAUAACACCAGUCCAGAUGGUAGUAUAUCUAAGGCCCAUCUGCUGAGAUGAGGACCAUGGUGGGGGUGGAGGAGUCUGGACUGUUCUCUUGGUUGGGAGCCUGGUUUGGUAAGUACACUGGUAUGGUGGUUCCUGGAUUUCUGACCCUAAUUCUUGUAUUUUUAUUAUUGAUGUGUUGUGCUGCUUGCAUCAUACCGUGUUUUAAGAAGUCUGUUACAGAUGUGGUGAAGGCUUCAGGCAUGAUUCACCAACUACUUUGCAGACAGAGUUCAGUGUGUCAAAUCGGAGGGCAUGCUGUCCGGUCCUCUGGCAGUCUCUAUGGGGGUGCCACAGGGUUAAAUUCUCAGGCCGACUCUUUUCUCUGUAUUUAUCAAUGAUGUUGCUCUUGCUGCGGGCGAUUCCCUGAUCCACCUCUACGCAGACGACACCAUUCUAUAUACUUCCGGCCCGUCCUUGGACACUGUGCUAUCUAAACUCCAAACGAGCUUCAAUGCCAUACAACACUCCUUCCGUGGCCUCCAACUGCUCUUAAACGCUAGUAAAACCAAAUGCAUGCUUUUCAACCAUUCGCUGCCUGCACCCGCACGCCUGACCAGCAUCACCACCCUGGAUGGUUCCGACCUUGAAUAUGUGGACAUCUAUAAGUACCUAGGUGUCUGGCUAGACUGUAAACUCUCCUUCCAGACUCAUAUCAAACAUGUCCAAUCGAAAAUCAAAUCUAGAGUCGGCUUUCUAUUCCGCAACAAAGCCUCCUUCACUCACGCCGCCAAACUUACCCUAGUAAAACUGACUAUCCUACCGAUCCUGGACUUCGGCGAUGUCAUCUACAAAAUUGCUUCCAACACUCUACUCAACAAACUGGAUGUAGUUUAUCACAGUGCCAUCCGUUUUGUCACUAAAGCACCUUAUACCACCCACCACUGCGACCUGUAUACUCUAGUCAGCUGGCCCUCGCUACAUAUUCGUCGCCAGACCCACUGGCUCCAGGUCAUCUACAAGUCCAUGCUAGGUAAAGCUCCUCCUUAUCUCAGUUCACUGGUCACGAUGGCAACACCCACCCGUAGCACGCGCUCCAGCAGGUGUAUCUCACUGAUCAUCCCUAAAGCCAACACCUCAUUUGGCCGCCUUUCGUUCCAGUUCUCUGCUGCCUGUUACUGGAACGAAUUGCAAAAAUCGCUGAAGUUGGAGACUUUUAUCUCCCUCACCAACUUCAAACAUCUGCUAUCUGAGCAGCUAACCGAUCGCUGCAGCUGUACAUAGUCUAUUGGUAAAUAGCCCACCCAUUUUUACCUACCUCAUCCCCAUACUGUUUUUAUUUAUUUACUUUUCUGCUCUUUUGCACACCAAUAUCUCUACCUGUACAUGACCAUCUGAUCAUUUAUCACUCCAGUGUUAAUCUGCAAAAUUGUAAUUAUUCGCCUACCUCCUCAUGCCUUUUGCACACAAUGUAUAUAGACUCUCUUUUUUUCUACUGUGUUAUUAACUUGUUAAUUGUUUACUCCAUGUGUAACUCUGUGUUGUCUGUUCACACUGCUAGGCUUUAUCUUGGCCAGGUCGCAGUUGCAAAUGAGAACUUGUUCUCAACUAGCCUACCUGGUUAAAUAAAGGUGAAAUAAAAAAUAAAAUAACAAUUAUGCCUUUGCUUGAUGCUCCAGUUGGAGAUGCUGAUACUGAAUCAUGCUUUCAGGGGAGGAUGAGACCGACUGAGGAUGACCCAUGGUAUGCUGUGGGUGAGGUAGUAGAAUAAAUAUUACACCACCACAGUUCCUUGUUUUACAUUUUUUUAUGAUAGGUUUUCUUUCCAGUAUGGCAUGGUACCCACCUGGUGCAGGAUAGGAGGUGCUGAGAGGACCAGAUGGUUUAUAAUAAUGCUUUGCUCUGCUUUACUCUGUUUUCUAUGACCAAAGUUUUAUCUUACAUGUCAAUAAACAGUAAAGUCUUAUCCUGUUUUUGUCAAAAGGGGAAGACAAAAGCAUAUAUACCUUGACCAUUUGUAUUUUUUCUUGGAUGAUUUUUCUUUUCUGUUUUUCUGUUAAAAAAAAAUAAUAAUAAUGUUUUAUUAAUAAUAAACAUUUUAUUAUUUUCAUGAAAUACUAUUAACAUAUUACUAUGUUGGGACCGCUGAAAUCAAGGAUAAUGAGUGACACCCUAGCGGGUGUCAAAAGGGGGACUUAAAUUUAACACCAUUUUCUUUUAUUCUGUUUUUAAAUGAGCUGUUGUUCUCUUUUGACAUGAGGGUUUUAAGUUCCUAGGUGGCUGGUAGCCAAUCUAGUACAUAGUGGGAUCGAAUGGAGGACAUUAAGGUAUUUUAAACUUUGUAACUGUUAUAUGAUUCAUUGCUGAAUUUUUGUUCACACCCUUGGAGGUGUGAAAAAGGGGGAUUUUUGGAUUCUGUGUUUUACAUUAUAGCCAUUACCAUAUAUAUGAUUGAAUAUUAUCUGCUGUUGGCUUGUGUGGAUGUAUGUAUGUGUUAUGCAACAUAGCUGACUUGAAACAUUGUUAACAGUUUCAGGGCCAUGGACCUUUCUCAUGAUGGAAAAAUACAGAGUAGCAUGAAGACAGGAACUGUUCAAUGAGUUGGGGGGUGGCACAUUCAGAGCGGGGCGUUGCGAGAACAAGCGGUCUUUUGUUAGAUAACAGGAGCCAGGUGCGAGAUAACGGUAUCGAGCAUGAGGCAUAGAUAUUCUUCACAGCAAGUUACAUCUAUCAACUGGAGCGCCCGGGGGCUGGUACCAGCGCAUACGACAACAGUCAAAAUAGGCUGGGUGAGUCUAAACCACGCCCAGUCUCUACUGUGAUAGGCCAACAGACGGGUUGGGACAAUGUCUAUCACAGUAUACGAAUACUGUUUACAUACAUCUUGUCAGUUUUCUCUUCUGCCCUGCGUGGUAUUACAGUGAGCCCGUAUAUACGAAAGUUGCAUUUGCCAUUUAUUACUUAGCUAAUAAAAAAUACACCGUAUAAAAUCGGUGACUCAUUGUUAUAUUUAUCCUGAUGCCAGAUUCGAAUUUACGCAACUCUAACAGUGUAAGCACCUUUUCACUAGAAACUUUCUUGUGUUCAAAAUACCGUCAGUGCGAAAUAGCUAGAAAGCUUUCGUAUUUCCACUUGGCUGUACCUACGGUUACGAGAACGAUAAAUCAAGUGCAAUACCUGCGUCGGCCUGUGUCGAGCAGCAAAACACCGGAAAGCUUCUAGCCUGCAGGAACGUUACAAGAAGAACAAGAAUAGUUACCUUAUCCAGCCAUGUGACACUGGUUGUUUAUAGAUUUUUAGCUCACACCAGAUGUCUGGACCCUGGACAGGUAACAGAAGGAGAGAGGGACCCUAGGAGGGACGUAAAGGAGUUGAUGAAAUCCUGUUAAGACAGACAAUCAGAUGGUAUGGCCUCUGAGGACCCCCAAGACCAACUGGAUGAGGCUAUUAAAAAGGCAGAACGCCUUGCUGAGGAGCUCAACCGAGAGAAGGACCCACAAGCCCAACUGGACGAGGCCAUUAAUGAGGCAAAAAGACAGGCUGAGGAGCUCAACCCAGAACGGGAAAAUAAGAAGAAAAAGACAAACAAGCCUCCAGGGAUUAGGUUCAGAUGGAGACAAAGGGAUGAGAGAGGACAGAUUGUUCCUCAAACCAGGAAGGCAACUACAUCCACUUCUGUUGCUCCAAGGGCCAGUACAUCAAGAGCCAGACUAGUGCAACAUUUUGGACCAGUCACUGAGGAAGAAUCAGAGACGAGGACCAGUGGGUUGGAAUCAACUCCAGUUUUAAACAUUGAUGAAGAAAUAGCAGUCUAAGGCACUAUCUCAGUGGAAGAGGUGUCACUACAGUCCCUGGUUCGAAUCCAGGAUGAAUCAGAUGCGGCCGUGAUUGGGAGUACCAUAGGGCGGCGCACAAUUGGCCCAGCGUCGUGGGUAUGUCGUCAUUGUAAAUAAGAAUUUAUUCUUAACCGACAUGCCAAGUUAAUUAAAAUAAAUAAAACACUCUGUACCAGAAACCAUGACAGAGUAGCAAAUGUCUCUGUUCACUGAAUGUUGUAGCAGUUUCAUACCAAACACUGUCUGUAAUGAUGCAUGUUUAUGUCAUUAAGAAUGACUAUAUACAGUCAGCUCCAAAAGUAUUGGGAGAGUGAAAGUUGUUUUGUUUUGGCUCUGUACUCCAUCACUUUGGAUUUUAAAUAAAACAAUGACUGAGGUUAAAGUACAGACUAUCAGCUUUACAUUUAGGGUAUUUUCAUCCAUAUCCUGAAUAAUGGAGUGAGAAAGUUAGACCCACAAAUACCAUACCCCCAACACAUGCUAACCUCUCACUUACAAUAAAAGGAGACUUUAGCAUUUUUUUGAGGGGGUAGGAUAUUUGUGCAUCUCACUUUCAUACUGAUCAUUAUUCAUGAUUUAUUCAGGAAUAUCCGUAAUCAUGGUAGCAUCCACAUUAAUGUAGAAGUGUUUAGAAACAUAUCCUAUUCUUAUUUACAAUAAAAGAGACUCCAAAAUGACAAUAUUAUUUACCCUUUCUAUUGGGCACAAAAUAAUUUAAAACACAACCAAAACAAACAUUUGGCUUGACGUAGCCAUUGUGUGCUAGGAAUAUGGGACCAAAUACUUAACUUUUUACUACUUUAAUACACAAAGUUAAUGUGUCCCAAUACUUUUGGUCCCUUAAAAUGAAGGGAAUAUGUAAAGUGCUGUAAACAGUUCACCCGAUAUGCAUGAAAAUACUCUCAUAUUAAAAUGGACAGCCUGCACUAACUUCAGUCAUUGUAUCAUUUCAAAUCCAAAGUUCUAAAGUACCGAGCCAAAACAACCAAAAAAAUGUGUCACGCUCACAAUACUUUUGAGCCAACUAAAUUAUUAUUCUCAGAACAACAAUGAGCCUUUUAGCCAUGCUCUACCACCAUGCUAUUGGCCACAUCUCAUGGCUCUUUCAGCCCGUCACUAUCAGCAUUUGUAUUUUCACAUGUACCCCAAAGCUCUGUAUUAAAACUUUUACCAAAUCCUGGAA